UUUAUUUUAUUGCUAUGGCCCCCUCAUUAUCCAUAUGAAAGAAAGGUGGGGGCAUAGAACUCCUUUUUUUUUUUUAAACCCUUACCUUCCUUCUUGGAGUCAAUGCUGUGUAUUGGUUCCAAGGCAGAAGAGUGGUAAGGGCUAGGCAAUGGGGGUCAAGUGACUUGCCCAGGGUCACACAGCUGGGAAGUGUCUGAGGCCAGAUUUUAACCUAGGACCUCCUAUCUCUAGGCCUGGCUCUCAAUCCACUGAGCUACCCAGCUGCCCCCCAGGGCAUAGAACUCUUGAAAAAAAUAAGCAAAGUUGAGCACAACAAAUUCCACAUAGUAACCCUGUCUAGAAAUUUAUGUGACUUUAACUUGUAUCUAUCACUUCUCUUUCAGUGGGUAGGUAACAUGCUUCAUCAUAGAUUCUCUGAAGACAUGGUUGUUUGUCUUCCCAUUGGAUGGGCCAAAGCUUGA
rnacentral:lncRNA from 1 species